AGCGUACACGGUGGAUGCCCUGGCAGUCAGAGGCGAUGAAGGACGUGCUAAUCUGCGAAAAGCGUCGGUAAGGUGAUAUGAACCGUUAUAACCGGCGAUGUCCGAAUGGGGAAACCCAGUGCAAUUCGUUGCACUAUCGUUAACUGAAUACAUAGGUUAACGAGGCGAACCGGGGGAACUGAAACAUCUAAGUACCCCGAGGAAAAGAAAUCAACCGAGAUUCCCCCAGUAGCGGCGAGCGAACGGGGAGCAGCCCAGAGUCUGAAUCAGCUUGUGUGUUAGUGGAACGGUCUGGAAAGUCCGACGGUACAGGGUGAUAGUCCCGUACACCAAAAUGCACAGGCUGUGAACUCGAAGAGUAGGGCGGGACACGUGGUAUCCUGUCUGAAUAUGGGGGGACCAUCCUCCAAGGCUAAAUACUCCUGACUGACCGAUAGUGAACCAGUACCGUGAGGGAAAGGCGAAAAGAACCCCGGCGAGGGGAGUGAAAAAGAACCUGAAACCGUGUACGUACAAGCAGUGGGAGCACCUUCGGGUGUGACUGCGUACCUUUUGUAUAAUGGGUCAGCGACUUAUAUUCUGUAGCAAGGUUAACCGUAUAGGGGAGCCGCAGGGAAACCGAGUCUUAACUGGGCGUUAAGUUGCAGGGUAUAGACCCGAAACCCGGUGAUCUAGCCAUGGGCAGGUUGAAGGUUGGGUAACACUAACUGGAGGACCGAACCGACUAAUGUUGAAAAAUUAGCGGAUGACUUGUGGCUGGGGGUGAAAGGCCAAUCAAACCGGGAGAUAGCUGGUUCUCCCCGAAAGCUAUUUAGGUAGCGCCUCGUGAAUUCAUCUUCGGGGGUAGAGCACUGUUUCGGCUAGGGGGUCAUCCCGACUUACCAACCCGAUGCAAACUACGAAUACCGAAGAAUGUUAUCACGGGAGACACACGGCGGGUGCUAACGUCCGUCGUGAAGAGGGAAACAACCCAGACCGCCAGCUAAGGUCCCAAAGUCAUGGUUAAGUGGGAAACGAUGUGGGAAGGCACAGACAGCCAGGAUGUUGGCUUAGAAGCAGCCAUCAUUUAAAGAAAGCGUAAUAGCUCACUGGUCGAGUCGGCCUGCGCGGAAGAUGUAACGGGGCUAAACCAUGCACCGAAGCUGCGGCAGCGACACUAUGUGUUGUUGGGUAGGGGAGCGUUCUGUAAGCCUGCGAAGGUGUGCUGUGAGGCAUGCUGGAGGUAUCAGAAGUGCGAAUGCUGACAUAAGUAACGAUAAAGCGGGUGAAAAGCCCGCUCGCCGGAAGACCAAGGGUUCCUGUCCAACGUUAAUCGGGGCAGGGUGAGUCGACCCCUAAGGCGAGGCCGAAAGGCGUAGUCGAUGGGAAACAGGUUAAUAUUCCUGUACUUGGUGUUACUGCGAAGGGGGGACGGAGAAGGCUAUGUUAGCCGGGCGACGGUUGUCCCGGUUUAAGCAUGUAGGCUGAUUGUCCAGGCAAAUCCGGAUAAUCAAGGCUGAGGUGUGAUGACGAGGCACUACGGUGCUGAAGUAACAAAUGCCCUGCUUCCAGGAAAAGCCUCUAAGCAUCAGGUAACAUCAAAUCGUACCCCAAACCGACACAGGUGGUCAGGUAGAGAAUACCAAGGCGCUUGAGAGAACUCGGGUGAAGGAACUAGGCAAAAUGGUGCCGUAACUUCGGGAGAAGGCACGCUGGUGUGUAGGUGAAGUCCCUGCGGAUGGAGCUGAGACCAGUCGAAGAUACCAGCUGGCUGCAACUGUUUAUUAAAAACACAGCACUGUGCAAACACGAAAGUGGACGUAUACGGUGUGACGCCUGCCCGGUGCCGGAAGGUUAAUUGAUGGGGUUAUCCGUAAGGAGAAGCUCUUGAUCGAAGCCCCGGUAAACGGCGGCCGUAACUAUAACGGUCCUAAGGUAGCGAAAUUCCUUGUCGGGUAAGUUCCGACCUGCACGAAUGGCGUAAUGAUGGCCAGGCUGUCUCCACCCGAGACUCAGUGAAAUUGAACUCGCUGUGAAGAUGCAGUGUACCCGCGGCAAGACGGAAAGACCCCGUGAACCUUUACUAUAGCUUGACACUGAACAUUGAGCCUUGAUGUGUAGGAUAGGUGGGAGGCUUUGAAGCGUGGACGCCAGUCUGCGUGGAGCCAACCUUGAAAUACCACCCUUUAAUGUUUGAUGUUCUAACGUUGGCCCCUUACCGGGGUUGCGGACAGUGUCUGGUGGGUAGUUUGACUGGGGCGGUCUCCUCCCAAAGCGUAACGGAGGAGCACGAAGGUUAGCUAAUCCUGGUCGGACAUCAGGAGGUUAGUGCAAUGGCAUAAGCUAGCUUGACUGCGAGCGUGACGGCGCGAGCAGGUGCGAAAGCAGGUCAUAGUGAUCCGGUGGUUCUGAAUGGAAGGGCCAUCGCUCAACGGAUAAAAGGUACUCCGGGGAUAACAGGCUGAUACCGCCCAAGAGUUCAUAUCGACGGCGGUGUUUGGCACCUCGAUGUCGGCUCAUCACAUCCUGGGGCUGAAGUAGGUCCCAAGGGUAUGGCUGUUCGCCAUUUAAAGUGGUACGCGAGCUGGGUUUAGAACGUCGUGAGACAGUUCGGUCCCUAUCUGCCGUGGGCGCUGGAGAAUUGAGGGGGGCUGCUCCUAGUACGAGAGGACCGGAGUGGACGCAUCACUGGUGUUCGGGUUGUCAUGCCAAUGGCACUGCCCGGUAGCUAAAUGCGGAAGAGAUAAGUGCUGAAAGCAUCUAAGCACGAAACUUGCCCCGAGAUGAGUUCU
rnacentral:rRNA from 1 species